rnacentral:rRNA from 1 species
AGCAGCCGCGGUAAUUCCAGCUCCAAUAGCGUAUAUUAAAGUUGUUGCAGUUAAAAAGCUCGUAGUUGAAUUUCGGGAUCAAUAUAUCGGUCGUGCCUUUGGUACGCACUGGUAUUAUUGAUUUCUACCUUCUGACGAAUCAUGAUGUCAUUAAUUUGGUGUCAUGGGGAAUCAGGACUGUUACUUUGAAAAAAUUAGAGUGUUUAAAGCAAGCACACGCUUGAAUACAUUAGCAUGGAAUAAUGAAAUAGGACGUUUGAUCUUAUUUUGUUGGUUUCUAGGAUCGACGUAAUGAUUAAUAGGGAUAGUUGGGGGCAUUAGUAUUCAAUUGUCAGAGGUGAAAUUCCUGGAUUUAUUGAAGACUAACUACUGCGAAAGCAUUUGCCAAGGAUGUUUUCAUCAAUCAAGAACGAAAGUUAGGGGAUCGAAGACGAUCAGAUACCGUCGUAGUCUUAACCAUAAACUAUGCCGACUAGGGAUCGGAUGAUGUUAAUUUUUUAAUGACUCAUUCGGCGCCUUACGG